CGGGGGGGGCAAGCGUUGUUCGGAAUUACUGGGCGUAAAGGGCGCGUAGGCGGUUUGCUAAGUUGGAUGUGAAAACUCUGGGCUUAACCCAGAGCCUGCAUCCAAAACUGGCUGACUUGAGUACUGGAGGGGAAAGCGGAAUUCCUGGUGUAGCGGUGAAAUGCGUAGAUAUCAGGAGGAACACCGGUGGCGAAGGCGGCUUUCUGGACAGUAACUGACGCUGAGGCGCGAAAGCUAGGGGAGCAAACAGGAUUAGAUACCCUGGUAGUCCUAGCCCUAAACGAUGGAUACUUGGUGUGAGGGGGAUUGAAUCCCUUCGUGCCGUAGCUAACGCAAUAAGUAUCCCGCCUGGGGAGUACGGUCGCAAGGCUG
rnacentral:rRNA from 1 species